rnacentral:rRNA from 2 species
AAAUUGAAGAGUUUGAUCAUGGCUCAGAUUGAACGCUGGCGGCAGGCCUAACACAUGCAAGUCGAACGGUAACAGGAAGCAGCUUGCUGCUUUGCUGACGAGUGGCGGACGGGUGAGUAAUGUCUGGGAAACUGCCUGAUGGAGGGGGAUAACUACUGGAAACGGUGGCUAAUACCGCAUAACGUCGCAAGACCAAAGAGGGGGACCUUCGGGCCUCUUGCCAUCAGAUGUGCCCAGAUGGGAUUAGCUUGUUGGUGAGGUAACGGCUCACCAAGGCGACGAUCCCUAGCUGGUCUGAGAGGAUGACCAGCCACACUGGAACUGAGACACGGUCCAGACUCCUACGGGAGGCAGCAGUGGGGAAUAUUGCACAAUGGGCGCAAGCCUGAUGCAGCCAUGCCGCGUGUAUGAAGAAGGCCUUCGGGUUGUAAAGUACUUUCAGCGGGGAGGAAGGUGUUGUGGUUAAUAACCGCAGCAAUUGACGUUACCCGCAGAAGAAGCACCGGCUAACUCCGUGCCAGCAGCCGCGGUAAUACGGAGGGUGCAAGCGUUAAUCGGAAUUACUGGGCGUAAAGCGCACGCAGGCGGUCUGUCAAGUCGGAUGUGAAAUCCCCGGGCUCAACCUGGGAACUGCAUUCGAAACUGGCAGGCUUGAGUCUUGUAGAGGGGGGUAGAAUUCCAGGUGUAGCGGUGAAAUGCGUAGAGAUCUGGAGGAAUACCGGUGGCGAAGGCGGCCCCCUGGACAAAGACUGACGCUCAGGUGCGAAAGCGUGGG